GAGCAGAAUCUGGUUACAGUGCAGCUGUGAAGUGCUGCGUUGUCUUUGCCCCCUGCUCUAAAGAAAACUGUUACCUUCCUGGCCGUGCCUGCCAAGGUGUGCAACAGCAGGGAUGACUGGUCUCAGACAC
rnacentral:snoRNA from 1 species